rnacentral:rRNA from 1 species
AGUAAAAGUCGUAACAAGGUCUCCGUUGGUGGACCAGCGGAGGGAUCAUUACAGAGUUAUCCAACUCCCAAACCCAUGUGAACUUAUCUCUUUGUUGCCUCGGCGCAAGCUACCCGGGACCUCGCGCCCCGGGGGGCCCGCCGGCGGACAAACCAAACUCUGUUAUCUUCGUUGAUUAUCUGAGUGUCUUAUUUAAUAAGUCAAAACUUUCAACAACGGAUCUCUUGGUUCUGGCAUCGAUGAAGAACGCAGCGAAAUGCGAUAAGUAAUGUGAAUUGCAGAAUUCAGUGAAUCAUCGAAUCUUUGAACGCACAUUGCGCCCAUUAGUAUUCUAGUGGGCAUGCCUGUUCGAGCGUCAUUUCAACCCCUAAGCACAGCUUAUUGUUGGGACUCUACGGCUUCGUAGUUCCCCAAAGACAUUGGCGGAGUGGCAGCAGUCCUCUGAGCGUAGUAAUUCUUUAUCUCGCUUUUGUUAGGCGCUGCCCCCCCGGCCGUAAAACCCCCAAUUUUUUCUGGUUGACCUCGGAUCAGGUAGGAAUACCCGCUGAACUUAAGCAUAUCAAUAAGCGGAGGAAAAGAAACCAACAGGGAUUGCCCUAGUAACG